AUCUAACUGACGAGUCCCAAGUAGGACGAAACGCGAGUCCUGGAU
rnacentral:hammerhead_ribozyme from 1 species